rnacentral:tRNA from 1 species
ACCUGGCUGGCUCAGUAGGUAGAGCAUGUGACUUCUGAUCUCGGGUCAUGAGUUCGCGCCCCAUGUUGGGUG